UGUUCUGUGCCUGGCAUCCCCGGAUUUUGAACCAAAAUUGACACGAGCAAUCUAUUCCUGCUCAGGGUCAUAUUUGGGAUAAUCGUCGUAGAAACGUUGCGAAAAAAUGCUUCCGAAGAUGAGCUGGACUUAGCAACGAUAACAUUCAGAACCAUAUUUCCAGCUACUUACUCAUCAUUGCAUUUCCGAAGCAAGGUACUUCGGUGCUUUAUUUGUUCCUAUAAAAACCACGACAAAGCAAUGAGGAAAAAUGGAAAGAAGCCUGUUGAGCUGGUUUCGACCACUAAACAUAAUUCUGCAAAGUUGAGGAAACAGCCGAGUUAUUCAGCCUCGAUUCCCUCUUCGCUCCCUCGAGGUUGGCCCGCACGAAGACGUGAAUCAGUACCAGAAGUGGUCGUCUAGACAUCCGUAUCCUUUUUGUCAUUGAAUUUGACAACCAACAAUGUUUGGGGCCCAACAGUUUUUGCUAUCUCCCUGGUCGUAAAGUAAAGCAAUUUUUUCUGUUGUGUUUGCUGUCGAUAUAAAAACAUUGGAAAUCGACAAUCCUCCAUUUGAUUG